rnacentral:lncRNA from 1 species
UAUUUAAAAUAUUUUUUACAGCUGGUCCAGUUCCUUUAACUACUGAGCCUGCAACUGCAACAACCACAGUUGCAGCAACUACAACUCCUGCCAUGACAACAACCACAUCUGCAGCUGUUACAAUAAGUGUGUCAUUUAGAUCACGUCUCAGCACAUUUUCAAGUGACCUGCAGGAUACAUCUUCUGAAGCUUUUAAAAGUCGAGCUUCAAUGAUAAAAUCACAGGUAUGCUGUCAAAAGUUUGGGUUUUAAAGCUGGUCAUCCCUGCUCCACACCUGUUGCAAAUCAAAGAAGAAGGAUUUGUUUAAUUUGUGGUUUGUUUUCUUGCAGCUUCAACCAUUGUUCAAGGAACAAUUUUCUUCCUUUAGGUUCAUGGAAGUGGUAUCAUUUAGGUAAUUUGUCGAUUUCCCAAAUUAACCAUCGUGUCAUAAUUCUGACAAGUCACUGUGAAGUUCACUCCCUGUUUCUGCAGAAAUGGCUCAGUCAUCAAUGACAUGACACUCGGCUUUGACAGUACGGCUGUCCCUCAUCACACCGUGAUUGCCAGUGUUUUGAUUAACGCAUCCUCGAUUGUCACUGGUUUUGACAUUGAAGGCAGCUCCAUCUCUGUAGAUGGCAUAGCUUCAAGCGGAGUUAGGCAGAACAUCAGUCUCAUCACUGCAUUCUCUCUGAUACUGUUGUCAUGGUUACUGUCAAAUUACCAAUAGAGUUUGAUAUUAGUUGCCUACAGAAACACUGUAACAGCAGUAAGCAAAAAUUGAUGUUUUUCUAUAUUACACAAAAGAUCUUCCUCUUGAUUAUUAACAUUUUAUUAUAAUUCACAUUCUUUUACCUCAUAUUCUAUUACAAUGUAGCAUACAUCACAAUCACUAAGACAAGAUGACUAAUGAUGACAACUGUCAAAUAUUUCAGAAAAUGUGAAUACCGCUCAUGUAUUUAAUAUGUUAAUUAUUUAUUCUUCUUUGAAAUGACUAUUUAUUUGAGAUUCUGUCCUGUCUAAUCUGCAAAGAUCAGAAUAAUAAAAUAAUGACUCAC